rnacentral:rRNA from 1 species
UGACCUCGGAUCAGGUAGGGAUACCCGCUGAACUUAAGCAUAUCAAAAGCCGGAGGAAA